rnacentral:rRNA from 1 species
GUGACCAGCGGAGGGAUCAUUAAAGAGUUCUAUAACUCCCAAACCCAUGUGAACAUACCUAACGUUGCCUCGGCAGGUCGCACCUACCUUGUAGCACCCUACCCUGUAGGGCCUACCCGGGAGGUGCGGGUAAGCCUGCCGGCGGCCCACCAAACUCUGUUUGAUAUUGAAUUCUGAACCUAUAACUAAAUAAGUUAAAACUUUCAACAACGGAUCUCUUGGUUCUGGCAUCGAUGAAGAACGCAGCGAAAUGCGAUAAGUAAUGUGAAUUGCAGAAUUCAGUGAAUCAUCGAAUCUUUGAACGCAUAUUGCGCCCAUUAGUAUUCUAGUGGGCAGGACCGUUCGAGCGUCAUUUCAACCCUUAAGCCUUCGUUGCUUAGUGUUGGGAGCCUACGGCAACGUAGCUCCUCAAAGUUAGUGGCGGAGUUGGUUCACACUCUAGACGUAGUAAUUUUUUAUCUCGCCUAUUAGUUGGACUAAUCCCCUGCCGUAAAACCCCCAAUUUAUCAAGGUUGACCUCGAAUCGGUUCAGACAAACUCGCUAAAUUGAAGCAUCUUAGUCAGCGAAGGAAAAGAAACCAACAGGGAUUGCCCUAGUAACGGCGAGUGAAGCGGCAACAGCUCAAAUUUGAAAUCUGGCCCUCGGGUCCGAGUUGUAAUUUGUAGAGGAUGCUUUUGGCGCGGUGCCUUCCGAGUUCCCUGGAACGGGACGCCUUAGAGGGUGAGAGCCCCGUACGGUUGGACACCAAGCCUCUGUAAAGCUCCUUCGACGAGUCGAGUAGCUUGGGAAUGCUGCUCUAAAUGGGAGGUAAAUUUCUUCUAAAGCUAAAUAUUG